rnacentral:tRNA from 1 species
GGUGGCUCAAUGGUAGAGUGCUUGCCUUGAAUGCAUGAGGUCCUGGGUUCAAUUCCUCAGCACCA